rnacentral:lncRNA from 1 species
UGGUUCGAAGCAACACAAAUUUAUUACCCUACAGUAUGUAAAUUAGUCCCACAGUGCUGGUUCCUUCCAGAGGCUGAGGGAGAGAAUGCGUUUUCUUGCCUUUUCCAGCUUUUCCAGAAGCGGUCCCCAACCUUUUUGGCACCAGAGACCGGUUUCGCGGAACACAAUUUUUCCAUGGAUUGGGGUCGGGGAGGGAUGGUUUCAGGACGAUUCAAGUGCAUUGCAUUUAUUGUGCACUUUAUUUCUACUAUUAUUACAUUGUAACAUAUAAUUAAAUAAUUCUACAACUCACCAUCACAGAGACUCAGUGGGAGCCCUGAGCUUGUUUUCCUGCAACUAGACAGCCCCAUCUGGGGGUGACGGGAGACAGUGACAGAUCAUCAGGCAUCAGAUUCUCAUAAGGAGCGUGCAACCUACAUCCCUCGUGUGUGCAGUUCACAAUAGGGCUCGUGCUGCUAUGAGAAUCUAAUGCCCACCGCUGAUGUGACAGGAGGCGGAGCUCGGGUGGUAACGCCAGCGACGGGGAGUGGCUAUAAAUACAGAUGAAGCUUCGCUGGCUUGCCGGCCCCUAACCUGCUGUGCACCCCACUUCCUAAUAGGCCAUGGACCACUACUGGUCUGUGUCCGGAGUGUUGGAAUCCCUGUUCUAGAGACUGCUUGCAAUCCUUGACUAGUGGUACCUCCUUCCAUCUCCAAAACCAGCAAGACAGCCUCUCUCUGGCCAGCAGGGAAAGGUCUCCACCUUUGAAGGACUCACCCAAUGGACUGGGCCCACCCAGACAAUCCAGGAUAAUCUCUCUGUUGCAAGAUCCUUAACUCAGCCAGGCAUGAUGGCUCACACCUGUAAUCCCAGCACUUUGGGAGGCCGAGGCGGUCGGAUCACCUGAGGUCAGGAGUUCGAGACCAGCCUGGUCAACAUGGUGAAACCCUGUCUCUACUAAAAAUACAAAAAUUAGCCAGUAUGGUUCUGGACACCUGUAAUCCCAGCUACUCGGGAGGCUGAGGUGGGAGAAUCACUUGAACCUGGGAGGCAGAGGCUGCAGUGAGCUGAGAUCAUGCUAUUGAACUCCAGCCUGGGCAACAAGAGCGAAACUUCAUCUCAAAGAAAAAAAAAAAAAAGAUCCUUCACUCAAUCACACCUGCCGAGUCCCUUCUGCCACGUGAGGCAGCGUGGUCACAGGUUCUGGGGAUUAGGACACAGCUGUCUUGGGGGCUGUUAUCCUGCCACAGCUCCCAAUCUGGAGAGUUCAUAAGUGGGAUCCUGCAGACCACGCCAGCACAGUGCCAGACACGAUGGCACAGUGACUACUGUACUGCCUCCUCCAUCUGAGGGAUUCUAAAGCAGGAAGGGGAGCCGCCCACAGUCUGGAGAAGGGGUGGGGGCAGCAGGGGGAGCCACAUCUGUCAUCUCUGGGCCCCCAAGAGGGCAUCUUUACUUCCAUUUUCAGCCAAGUUCAAACAGGACAAGGUUCCAUGAAAACUAUUUGAAAAGACAGACAGGGAUUCUUAUAUUCCCAGAACCAUUCAAGGCCAGUAACUGGAAUGUUCUACAGUUCACAUCCUGAGGAAACCAAAUCACAGCAUCAAAUUAUGGGAAAUCAAACUCUUUUUGUUCCCCUGCGAGGACAGCAUUUUGCGACCUUGGCCGCACAGAGGAAUGUUUCAAAUAGUGACCCCUGUCCCAUCCAGUCAUUUUCUUCCAGCCGGGCAGAGAAUCCCCCGUGUUUAAAAAUUUAAUGUGAAUCAGGGCUGAGAAUCACUAACUGAAAAGGACCCUACUUUUAAAUUUAUGAAAUUAAACAAAGAUGAAUUUAAUUAUCAUUAAGGGUUGAAAGUUAUAGACUAAACUAUGUCCAGCCAGAGCAGAGGCCUGAGUAACUUCCAAAGUGGUUUGGUUUUUUUUUUUUUGUUUUGUUUUGUUUUGUUUUUUGAGACACAGUCUU